GCAGAGCAGAGACAAGCCAGCCCCGAGCCCGCCUGACCUCCAAGCCUACAGGCUGGAGCUGCCCAGUGAGCCAUUGUCGACUACAGCAUCUCAAGAUGGGAGCACAGGUGUGGUGGUUGAAGCUGCUCACUCUGGGUUGGUGUCAAACAGGCAAGGGAAGGGGUGCAGGUUGGGGAUCUAGUGGUGUCCAUCUCAGUGAGAUGCACUUUUUAAAGGAGUUGGGAUGAUUAAUAUUCAAGAUGAUAAUAGAAUUUAGAUAUUUAAGAAGACAAAACUGAAUUAAGACAGAAAUGAGAAAAGCAUUC
rnacentral:lncRNA from 1 species